rnacentral:tRNA from 1 species
CCGCCAUUAGCUCAUCUGGAAGAGCGAACGACACUACAGGGUUGUUAGUACGGGGUUCGAGGCCUCGAUGGCGGUCCA